AACGAACGCUGGCGGCAUGCCUAACACAUGCAAGUCGAACGAGACCUUCGGGUCUAGUGGCGCACGGGUUCGUAACGCGGGGGAACCUGCCCUUAGGUUCGGAAUAACUCCCCGAAAGGGGUGCUAAUACCGGAUAAUGUCUUCGGACCAAAGAUUUAUCGCCUUUGGAUGGGCCCGCGUUGGAUUAGCUAGUUGGUAGGGUAAAAGCCUACCAAGGCGACGAUCCAUAGCUGGUCUGUGAGGAUGAUCAGCCACACUGGGACUGAGACACGGCCCAGACUCCUACGGGAGGCAGCAGUGGGGAAUAUUGGACAGUGGGCGAAAGCCUGAUCCAGCAAUGCCGCGUGAGUGAUGAAGGCCUUAGGGUUGUAAAGCUCUUUUACCCGGGAGGAUAAUGACAGUACCGGGAGAAUAAGCUCCGGCUAACUCCGUG
rnacentral:rRNA from 1 species